rnacentral:rRNA from 1 species
UAGCGGCGGACGGGUGAGUAACACGUAGGCAACCUACCCUCUAGACUGGGAUAACUACCGGAAACGGUAGCUAAUACCGGAUAAUUCCCUGACCCCCCUGGGCUAGGGAUGAAAGGCGGAGCAAUCUGCUGCUAGAGGAUGGGCCUGCGGCGCAUUAGCUAGUUGGUGGGGUAACGGCCUACCAAGGCGACGAUGCGUAGCCGACCUGAGAGGGUGAACGGCCACACUGGGACUGAGACACGGCCCAGACUCCUACGGGCGGCAGCAGUAGGGAAUCUUCCGAAAUGGGCGAAAGCUGACGGAGCAACGCCGCGUGAGUGAUGAAGGUUUUCGGAUCGUAAAGCUCUGUUGCCAGGGAAGAACGUCCGGUAGAGUAACUGCUGCCGGAGUGACGGUACCUGAGAAGAAAGCCCCGGCUAACUACGUGCCAGCAGCCGCGGUAAUACGUAGGGGGCAAGCGUUGUCCGGAAUUAUUGGGCGUAAAGCGCGCGCAGGCGCUAUUUAAGUCUGGUGUUUAAACCUUGGGCUCAACCUGGGUCGCACUGGAAACUGGGUGGCUUGAGUACAGAAGAGGAAAGUGGAAUUCCACGUGUAGCGGUGAAAUGCGUAGAGAUGUGGCAGGAACACCAGUGGCGAAGGCGACUUUCUGGGCUGUAACUGACGCUGAGGCGCGAAAGCUGGGGAGCAAACAGGAUUGGAUACCCUGGUAGUCCACGCCGUAAACGAUGAGUGCUAGGUGUUAGGGGUUUCGAUACCCUUGGUGCCGAAGUUAACACAGUAAGCACUCCGCCUGGGGAGUACGGUCGCAAGACUGAAACUCAAAGGAAUUGACGGGGACCCGCACAAGCAGUGGAGUAUGUGGUUUAAUUCGAAGCAACGCGAAGAACCUUACCAGGUCUUGACAUCCAACUAACGAAGCAGAGAUGCAUUAGGUGCCCUUCGGGGAAAGUUGAGACAGGUGGUGCAUGGUUGUCGGCAGCUCGUGUCCUGAGAUGUUGGGUUAAGUCCCGCAACGAAGCGCAACCCUUGACUUAGUUGCCAGCAGGUAAGGCUGGGCACUCUAGAGUGACUGCCGGUGACAAACCGGAGGAAGGUGGGGAUGACGUCCAAAUCAUUCAUGCCCCUUAUGACCUGGGCUACACACGUACUACAAUGGCCGGUACAACGGGAAGCGAAGCCGCGAGGUGGAGCCAAUCCCAGCAAAGCCGGUCUC